UACGUAGGGUGCGAGCGUUAAUCGGAAUUACUGGGCGUAAAGCGUGCGCAGGCGGUUUUGUAAGCCAGAUGUGAAAUCCCCGGGCUUAACCUGGGAAUGGCAUUUGGGACUGCAAGGCUGGAGUGCGGCAGAGGAGACUGGAAUUCCUGGUGUAGCAGUGAAAUGCGUAGAUAUCAGGAGGAACACCGAUGGCGAAGGCAGCACUCUGGGACGUGACUGACG
rnacentral:rRNA from 1 species